UACGGAGGGGGCUAGCGUUGUUCGGAAUUACUGGGCGUAAAGCGUACGUAGGCGGCUUUGUAAGUUAGAGGUGAAAGCCUGAUGCUCAACAUCAGAAUUGCCUUUAAGACUGCAUCGCUUGAAUCGUGGAGAGGUAAGUGGAAUUCCGAGUGUAGAGGUGAAAUUCGUAGAUAUUCGCAAGAACACCAGUGGCGAAGGCGGCUCACUGGCCCGGUACUGACGCUGAGGUGCGAAAGCGUGGGGAGCAAACAGG
rnacentral:rRNA from 1 species